UACGUAGGGUGCAAGCGUUGUCCGGAAUUAUUGGGCGUAAAGAGCUCGUAGGCGGUCCGUCGCGUCGAAUGUGAAAACCCGGGGCUCAACUCCGGGCUUGCAUUCGAUACGGGCGGACUAGAGUUCGGUAGGGGAGACUGGAAUUCCUGGUGUAGCGGUGAAAUGCGCAGAUAUCAGGAGGAACACCGGUGGCGAAGGCGGGUCUCUGGGCCGAUACUGACGCUGAGGAGCGAAAGCGUGGGGAGCAAACAGG
rnacentral:rRNA from 1 species